rnacentral:tRNA from 1 species
GGUUAUGUGCUUACCAAUUGCCACCUUGACAUGGUGGGGGUCGUUGGUUCGAAUCCAAUUGUGCCUACCA